GUUCCCUUGUCGAGCUGGCGGAUCCUUUGGUUCCGGUGUUCCAUGCAUGUUUCUGCCUCCCUCCCUCGCGUGCCUUCCUCGCCUUCUUCUCAGGUUCUUGGGGUUAGGGUUCGAGGUUGGCCUUGCUCAGGAGUAAGGGGAGGGGAGACAGACAGGGGGGAGCUUGGGAGGCGGCCGGCGGGGCCCUCGUCGUCGUCGUGGUCCGUGGCGCGCCGACGGACCGGCGGCCUCCGGAACUGCCGCCGGCCUCCGCUGCGGCACUUCUCGGCUAGCUAAGAGGAGCAGGCCUCAGGAGUGCGCGCGCCUCUUCCACUGCUCUAAGCUAAGGAAAGACAGGAAGAAAAGAAAAGAAACCCCCCAGCUAGGCAUACCAAACCAACGACCUUACCGUGUCACUAAACGAUAUGCCUCACAGAGGAAGAGGAGGAGACACCGGCAAGGACAAACUUACCAUGUCAAGCACCCGUCACCCUAUACGAAGCAAUAAAACCCCCCGAGCCAUCAUCAUGGUCAUAAGCGAAAGAAAAGAAGGCUCGGAACCUAAAAUCGGGCGGAAGCAAAACGAACGCGGCGGACUCUAAGUUGACGUUUAAAACGGGUAGCUCAACGCUAGCCUCGCGGCCAUUAGUGGUCUUCGAAGCUUGCAAACAAAGUCCUUUCCCUGAAGAAAAAACACAAAAACAGUAAAACUUUGCCUGCUCGCAACGAAAAGGGUGUAAGAUCAUCAUCGUGUGUUGACUUAACUUGUGGUCACGCUGGUCUAAUAGGGGCAACUUACCGCGGCAAGACAGCUCUAGUGAGACAGAUCAUUGAUGGUCUGCUAAGCAAAAGUAAGUGUAGCGUAAAUGAUGAUACCGAACGUCAAAAAACAUGAGUUGGCUCGGUCGUGACCAUUGCAAGCCUUAGACACCGCUACGUCAAUUUAAGAGUAAAAGUAGACUCUGCUUCCCCUCCGCGGCUUUUUAUUUAGGCAAAGUAAACAAUCGCGACGGUAAACACGUGUCCUUGGUUUUUUCGUGGCGUUUAGUUUUUGCUCUCUAGCGACGGCGUAGAAAGAGGGAAACUAACUACUCUCCUCGUCGCAUUUCUGCGCAGAAAUUACCGGUCGGUGCGCGGAUGCGGGCUCGGGCAGGCCGGCAGCCGCAUCGCCAUCACCAUCCGCAAUUUUAUCUCGUCGGUCGCGCGCCGCCGUCGCGUGCAGCGACCUGGGGGCGGGCGCGAAGAGGGAGGCCACCGUGCGUCUGCGUCGUCGGUUUCAUGAUGACGAUGCCGCAUCGUCGACAAAAAUGCACGGCAGGAGGAGAGGAGAGGAUAAGCAUACCGGGAAGAAAAAAUGAAAACAGAGAAAUCGGAAAGACGCGACAAAGAUCGACAACGAACGAACGAACGAACGAAGGGGAGCCCUAGACGCGCGGUACGGCGACGGCGACGACGAAACACCGGAGGCGGCGGCGGACGGGCACACCCAACCAGCGGACGAAGGAGACGGCCGCGCCGCCCUACGGGUUGCACCCAUGCCAAACCGUCGCGACACAACCACUCGACAACGGAACAACCACUCGUCCUGGGGCCACGAGACGGUAAAAUAAAAAUUCUAACCUCAUCCCAAUCCUCAACGAUCCAGUCUCCCUCCUCUCGGACACGCAGACACGAACACAAAAGGGGAACGUAGUCCGAAGGACCGUACCAUGCAUGCGUCAAAGAACUACCUACUGGUCAACUAGACGUUACGACGAACGACUACUUGACGCACUAAGCAAAUAAAACUCAACAGAACAGGUAGGUUCCGGAACCGCGAAGAACAAAGCAACCUAAUAGUACACCCUCACCCCGUAGAGACACGAGGAGGAGACGACCGACGUCCCGGUCCUGACGACGUGCGGAAUUAGAGUGAAAGGGGUGAACGUAUAGUCACGAACGGUACUCGUAAAGAAACAUGGACUUGUUCACAUCUAUCAUAAUACUAACAACGACAAUAUGGUAGCGAUCAAAGUACAUUAGAUUGACCAAUAGAUUAACAUGUGUGUAUUCAAAUUACAUUAUUUAUUUUGGUACCCUACAACCCGAUCUUAUCUUGACUAUUUCAACCAGUCGGUAGCGACCUAUUAAUGAACUGUAUAGCCCAUGAGUUAGCAAAGAAAACGCAAAUCAAGUAAAGGUGACAUGACAUGAAGUACAAAAAAAGUACAAGAGCCGACGAGAUAAGGUACAGCCGUCGGACUGUAAACGCAACAGUCAACGUCUACUGUAAAACUAGUGAUGAGUGGAAAGUGUGACCAGCUGUUCUGGAGACACGGCUAACAAAAGAGUUAGAUCUUCUUUAAAUCACGCUAUACGGUUCUAGGUUGAGUCUGUCCCUACUAUAGAAGAAACUACGUAAACUACUAUAAUCAAGUCGUUCCCUCGGAAGUAGUAGUCUACUAACAUCAUGCUCACCGCUUCCUAACCGCGGUUCCCUUAAACUCAUGCUGUAAACCCGUUUGCUCGGUUACUCACAAUUUCUUUCCGCCGUUUCUAAGGACCUCCCUUACCCUAAUCUACUGAAUCCAAGGUGAUUUCACCUAGAAGGAGUUACAGUCCGUCUCUAUUGUUCACGACUGUGACCACGACUGAACGUCCUUUCCUGACAAUACUCGCUGCAGAGAAGAAACCCAAGUAGAUAUGGACUCUUACUUAGUCGUAAACUACGGCGGACGACGUAAUCCCUAGACCUAUCACCUUUCUCUAUACAUCAAGUAUUACCGCCCGUACUGCCUGAUUGAUCGAAAGAGUUCCUACAACGUUGUCUAUUCCACAACAGAGAAGACCUCAAACUUUCGAAUCAACCACAAAGAGCUAGACAAGUUUUCAAUAAUGCUUCUCGUAUAACGGUCUCAGGACGGGACCGUUGUCUCCGUUUUCUCCGAUAACCACCUUUCUUUUUCCUAUAGUUUUCGAACACGUUUUUGAACUACUUCUUCUCCUCAAAGCCACCUUACACGUUCUGACUACAGGUACAUUUUUCGACGUGCUGUUCAUAUGGUAGGUCUUGUUUUCAAGUCGUGGCUUUCUUCUUCUUACGCCUUAAGAGACGACAGAUAUACCCAGUUCUUUAGGCCCGAGUGUUGCCAAAUUAAUCUCAUUACUUCAAAUCAGGCAGACCGACCAUAAAUCGUUCACCACCACUCCUGACACAACACUCUUAAACCGUCUAAUGUCUUCACCUGCGUGUAAGAUUUUACAUACCCCCUCUCUUGGUGAGAGUACUUGUACAUCUCUUUUAAUUUUAGGAUUUUGGCUUCGAUCUUCUCCCCGUCCCGGCACGUGAACGUCAAUACGGUUCGUUCCCAAAAGUGUAAUGUCUCUCGGGUAACGUACUUAACGUACCGGUAUGUCCACUACAGGACCUAUACUGUACCAGCUUAAGUCUAACAGACAACUGGAGUAGUUUUCUAUUCUGUCAGUCUAACACCUUUCAACCGAGUCUACAAACAGAACCUCAUAAGUCUGUGUUUCUGAUGCACUGCACACAAGUCAAGUUAGGAUGACUGCUUUCUAUGAAGUAGUCACCAAGUUAUCUACCAUUUCAAGCGUAAACCCUACAAGAUGUGUUCGCCCAGCAGUUGACCCGACUAUGGUCCUUACAAUAUAGACGACAAUCAAUGGUUGGUCUACCUUUCUUAAAACAACAACCGUGCUGACCUCCUCAAACAGCGAAGAUGCUAGUUAGUCCACUUCUGUAGGUUGAUCUGUUUCUUAACAAAUACGUUCCCUUUUUCUUUAGACGACGGUUAGCCUAGUUCUCAGACGUCAAUACAUGUUCACUAAGGGGAUCUAAGGAUCAAUGUAGUUGUCUAAGGUUCUAAGCUCAACGACUACCACGACUAUAGCAGGUUUUCAAAUUUCCCGGAACCUUCAGCUUCCGAGAAAGUAGCGGUAGUGAUUGUAGUCUACCGUCUAUAGAAUAUAGGUGACCGUACCUGAGGUUACAGAUGUAUACCUUAAAACUGUUGAGUUCGUCGCGGAGUGUCUUUCCACUUCGGUUUAGCCAAGCUAGCACGCUUUACAAGAAGAGGUUCCUGCACUGUUGGCGCCACGGUACCGGCCCCCACGUGGUUCUGUCCGUACAGUUCGGCAGGGCGAACGGGCUCUUUAGACGGUCGCGCAGCCGAAAUGCGGCGGUACCUCCUCUUUCGGCAAGGGGACCCUGUACCAAGAAGCGCCUGCCGUACUCCCCCAGACACUGCACCGGUCUCCUCUUCGAGUGAAGCCGCUUCGGACAGUUACCGGGGGCCGACCGACUGACAGAGAGCCGCUAUAGCCGACGGACCUUGUACCACUAUCACUGCCGCUCGGUGCCGCCGCACUAGGCCAGGAAGGUGUUGAUGCCGAACGGACACUGCAACACUCCAACAUUCGAAACCAAUAGUGAUCAAAGAAGAUGACUGCUGGAACUCAACAAAAAAACAAGAAGGAGGCCUUCACAACCCCCUCACCACCUUCUCUCCAAACCAUAUCGUGGUUCUUUUCUCCCUUACAACAUGGUGCCCCCAGGGAUCGAAGACUUUUCCUCUAAUUAGUCACCUCUACGAGCGAAAACAGACGUUCGAGAGAAAAAAAGAAAUACUUUUCCGGAGUUUUAACAACGAAUCCAAAAAACAACGAUCAAGGAGAGAUGCUCCACUGAUCGUAUACAUUGGGACAACUUCGACAAAAGUUUCUACCACCCGUUUUUAGGAACACACAUAAAGUGAGAACCUUCUGGUCUGUCACGUUCAGGACUACAAAACC
rnacentral:rRNA from 1 species